rnacentral:lncRNA from 1 species
CAUCAUAUAUAUGUAGAUUAAGUGGUGCAGGCGAAAAAAACUGGACCUUUUGGUUGGAGGUAUGACUUCAUGGCAGAUGCUUUAUUUCAGUCAGUUGUAUCAACUUAUUCAAAAUACAUAUGCUCGUAUACUAUUGUGUCUAAUCUGCCUGCAUAAACUAUAUGUUACUGUGAGAGCUUAGUACACAGCUGACAACACUUGGGUGGCUAGUUUUGAUAUCUUACCAGAAGAAAAUACAUAUGCUCAUAUACUAUUGUGUCUAAUCUGCCUGCAUAAACUAUAUUUUACUGUGAAAGCUUAGUACACAGGUGACAACACUUUGGUGGCUAGUUUUGACAUCUUUCCAGAAGAAAAUUUGUGUCCUGACACAAAGAAUAAUUAGGCUUUGCCUUUAAGUCGUUUUUAAAGAAUUUAAAAUAACCUUAAAGUGUUGGAUCUAUUGUGUUUAAUUUCAUGUGUAUCACGACCCUAUUUGCCCAAGCCAUGAUGCCACCUGACUUAACUCGCUAGGCGAACCAACGAAACUAAAAGCAUGAUCCAAAGGCGAUAAAUAGUAAUAACAAUUGAUACAUAAUGGACGUAGACAUUCUGUUACUUAGUGAACAUAGACAUACUCUUAUGUAAUGUAUGUACAUAGCAAUAUUAUAGGGAUUCAUUACAAAUCUAUAGGAUUUCUUUUUUUUGAUUCUUUCUUUAGUUAGGGCCAUGUACUUGUAUAUAUAUUUGUUACUUCUUGACAUAAUACACUAUGAAAUUGCUCAAUCGUCUCUGUAUAACACUAUGAACUUGCUCAAUCGUCUCUGUAUC